rnacentral:rRNA from 1 species
ACUUUCGGGCAGGCCUUAAAACAUGCAAGUCGAGCGGUAGAGAGAAGCUUGCUUCUCUUGAGAGCGGCGGACGGGUGAGUAAUGCCUAGGAAUCUGCCUGGUAGUGGGGGAUAACGUUCGGAAACGGACGCUAAUACCGCAUACGUCCUACGGGAGAAAGCAGGGGACCUUCGGGCCUUGCGCUAUCAGAUGAGCCUAGGUCGGAUUAGCUAGUUGGUGAGGUAAUGGCUCACCAAGGCGACGAUCCGUAACUGGUCUGAGAGGAUGAUCAGUCACACUGGAACUGAGACACGGUCCAGACUCCUACGGGAGGCAGCAGUGGGGAAUAUUGGACAAUGGGCGAAAGCCUGAUCCAGCCAUGCCGCGUGUGUGAAGAAGGUCUUCGGAUUGUAAAGCACUUUAAGUUGGGAGGAAGGGUUGUAGAUUAAUACUCUGCAAUUUUGACGUUACCGACAGAAUAAGCACCGGCUAACUCUGUGCCAGCAGCCGCGGUAAUACAGAGGGUGCAAGCGUUAAUCGGAAUUACUGGGCGUAAAGCGCGCGUAGGUGGUUUGUUAAGUUGGAUGUGAAAUCCCCGGGCUCAACCUGGGAACUGCAUUCAAAACUGACUGACUAGAGUAUGGUAGAGGGUGGUGGAAUUUCCUGUGUAGCGGUGAAAUGCGUAGAUAUAGGAAGGAACACCAGUGGCGAAGGCGACCACCUGGACUAAUACUGACACUGAGGUGCGAAAGCGUGGGGAGCAAACAGGAUUAGAUACCCUGGUAGUCCACGCCGUAAACGAUGUCAACUAGCCGUUGGAAGCCUUGAGCUUUUAGUGGCGCAGCUAACGCAUUAAGUUGACCGCCUGGGGAGUACGGCCGCAAGGUUAAAACUCAAAUGAAUUGACGGGGGCCCGCACAAGCGGUGGAGCAUGUGGUUUAAUUCGAAGCAACGCGAAGAACCUUACCAGGCCUUGACAUCCAAUGAACUUUUCUAGAGAUAGAUUGGUGCCUUCGGGAACAUUGAGACAGGUGCUGCAUGGGCUGUCGUCAGCUCGUGUCGUGAGAUGUUGGGUUUAAGGUCCCGUAACGAGCGCAACUCCUUGUCCUUAGUUACUAGCAACGUAUGGUGGGCACUCUAAGGAGACUGCGGUGACACCGGAGGAGGUGGGGAUGACGUCAGUCAUCAUGGCCCUUACGGCUUGACUUACCACGUGCUACAUUGUUCGUUAACGAGAAGGGUUGGCCUAGAUCUGG